AUGCUUUGAUGAGGAUGUCUCUGCCUUCCCUGCGUGCAGUAGGCUCUGCACGGGGAAGUGCCACGUCCUGGAGGCCCCGAGCUAGGUUUCCCUCCGAGCAGGCUCUGCAGAAGACCCAGGUGAAGCAAUCCCAUUUUUGGGGUCGUUUCCCUGUGCUGGAAGCCCCAUGAUGGGGAGACGUCUGCCUGGGGACAAAACCACCUUUAAAAAGAAAACAAAGCUCUAAGCACUUCAUUUAUCCCAGCUGUGCACAGCCCAGCCCCCUCCGUGUGUGCAGAACUAUUAAAUUAGGGUUGCUUUCACUGGGGUAGCUUCCUCCCGUGGCCCGUAGCCAUGUGCUCUGCUUUGCCUUCAGACAACCGCAGCUCCAGCCAUCCGUCUGCACCCAUGACAUGAGGUGCAACUUGCUGCUCCCCUCCGCAGUGUUGUGCAAAGCGCCCUCCUCUGCCACUGCCACCUUCCUCUGAGUUUUCCCGAUCGUGAUUCCUGCCCUGAAUGACUUCUUUUCGUUGUAAAUAGAGCAUGCACAUAUGGAUUGGGAAUGGUAUAUUAAAAAAAAAAAAAAAAAAAAAAAAAAAAAAAAAAAAGGAGCCUCUUCUACUGCUGUUUGCAUUCCAACUCGCAUGCAGUGAUUUUACAGCAAAAUAUCAGUUUACAAAUAUUAACAGAAAGAGAAAAUGUUACACAGGAACUAGAAAUACUCCAGUCUUCCGCUGCAUGCAGCACAACAUCCUCUCUUGAUGUGGUAUCUAAUAAAGUGAGACUAUUGGAAAAGAAAAAAAAA